UACGUAGGGGGCUAGCGUUGUCCGGAAUCAUUGGGCGUAAAGCGCGUGUAGGCGGUCCGGCAAGUCCGCUGUGAAAGCCGGGGGCUCAACCCUCGAAUGCCGGUGGAAACUGUCGGGCUAGAGUACGGAAGAGGCGAGUGGAAUUCCUGGUGUAGCGGUGAAAUGCGCAGAUAUCAGGAGGAACACCAAUUGCGAAGGCAGCUCGCUGGGACGUUACUGACGCUGAGACGCGAAAGCGUGGGGAGCAAACAGG
rnacentral:rRNA from 1 species